AAAGUCGUAACAAGGUUUCCGUAGGUGAACCUGCGGAAGGAUCAUUAUUGAAUAAAUCUGGCGUGGUUGUAGCUGGCUCUUUCAUGUGCAUGUGCUCGCCAUUGUCAUCUUUAUUUCUCCACCUGUGCACCUUUUGUAGACCUGGAUGAUUGGGUGGGAUUUGCUGGUUAAACAACCGGCUUUCCUUGUACUAUUACAGGUCUAUGUCUUAUUCAUAUACUCCAAUGAAUGUAAUAGAAUGUAUUUUAGGCCUUGUGCCUAUAAAACUAUAUACAACUUUCAGCAACGGAUCUCUUGGUUCUC
rnacentral:misc_RNA from 1 species